rfam:Penicillium steckii strain IBT 24891 PENSTE_contig003, whole genome shotgun sequence.
GGCAAGAUGGCCGAGUUGGUCCAAGGCGUCAGGUUAAGGUCUACCUUAACAUCAAAUUCCUGAUCUCCGCAAGGGGGCGUGGGUUCGAAUCCCACUCUUGUCA